ensembl:lncRNA
GAAUUGGUAAAUCAGGAGAGAAUCUUCAAAAGAAUACCCUGAUUUUAGAUAGAUUUGAAUAUUGUUUCAUAACUGUCCAAAAAAAGAAUAAAUUUAGGUGGAUUCUGAGCUGCUUAAACAAGUAAAGAGAAUUAAUAGAUCAUAUUGAAAGGUAAUAAUAGCUUUCUGGUCACUGGUGUCAGACCUGGGUUUAAGUCUCAUCUCUGCCAAUUUAAUCACCACUCAGGCAAGUUAUAUGAAUACUAGAUGGAUGUUAGUAUUGAUAUUCAUCUUGAGGGCAUAUUCUAGUGGUGUGCCACAUGGUUCUGGCCUGUUCAUUAUUUUUGCCAACAUCUUGAAUGAAGGCAAAAGGUUUGCCAUGGCAAAUAUUGUAGAAUGGCUUGCCCAACUUCUCUUCCAGCCUCUUAGGCAGAUACUGGGAAGCCAAAAAGUACAUUUUCUAGACUUCCUCACAGCUUUGGUUCUAGAUAUGAAUUGUAUUCCAUCUAUUAGAUGCAUUCUUGCAGGAUUUGGCAGAUGAAAAUGAGGCAGAAGCUAUGCUCCUAUCCAUUGCAGGCAAGCUCAUAGUGAAAAAGUCAGCAGCAAUGUUCUAGCAUCCAUUCUUGAGAUUAGGUAUUUAGGGUUCAUCCUGGGAACCUCCAUAUGCUGCAAAUGCGACCCUAAAAAGACAAAAAAUUAAAAUUAAAAAAAAAAACAUAACCAGCUAGAGUAUAUAAUCCAAGAGAAGACUUUUUUUAUGCUAGCAACAAAAAAGCAAAUAUCCAGGCAUGAACCUAAUAAGAAACAUGCCAAAGUUAUUUAAGAAAAAUUCGUGGAACACUUUGCUGAAAGACACAAGGUAGUCCAGAGCAAAUGGAAUGAGAAAACCAUGUUCUUAGAUGGGAAAACUCAAUAUCUCCCUAAGUUAAAUGAUAGAUUUAACAUUAUCCCACCAAAAAUAUCAAUCUUUUUUUCCUGGAGCUAGACAAUUUAAAUAUAUAAUCAAAAUGAGAAUAUGAACAAUUAUAGCGCCACCAAAAAAAUCUGUAAUAAAAGCAUUUGUUAACCCCUUCUAGGUAGAUAUUAAGAUAUUAAGCAUUUUAGAGUCACUUUCCUAAAUUCCUAUAAAUAAAGUCAACAAAUGACAAAGUAGGAAGAGAGAUUCAUAACCCAUAUCACAUACAAAAAGGUAAAGACCCUACUAAGGAAAGAACUCCCAAAAAUGGGAGAGGAAGGAAAGCCAAUAACCCCAUAGAAAAGUGGACAGAAGAGAUGAACAGAUAGCUCACAGAAAGACGAAGUGAUUCUUAAACAUUAAAAAAAAAAACUUCUCAACCUAAUUCAUACUCAGAGAAAUACAAAUCAAAACUGUUCAAGUUACUCCUUCUCACCUAUGAGAUUGGCAAAACAAAUGUAUAUUUGAUGUCAUCAUCUUUUGGAAACAUUGUGUUGGCACCGGCAUUUAAUAUUGUUUCCUUGCACAUUUCCUGAAGAAUCUACCAGAGAACACACUUCCUAUGUCCGAAUGACUGGAGAGAUGUCAACCUAAGGUGGUGAGCCUUAAAUAUCUACUUACUUGUAAAACAAAGACCACCUGAAGUUAGAGAGGAAAGGGUAUACUAUGUAUUGGUCAUAUGCUCUGAAAAUGUAGAUAAACUAUAGAAAAUGGAGAGUAUAUACAAAAAAUUUUAAAACUUUCAGUAAUAUUGGUGGUGGUAGAAUGAAAGAUUUUGCUGAGACUGUUGUGGGUAAAAUGCAAGAUCGUGCAAACUGUAAUUGUGUGAAUUCUAAUUCUCUUACCCUGUCAUCACUGAGGACCUGGAUUCUCAGAAGAAUGGGGGUACAGAUGUAAGAUAGAAGAUAAGUAAAAACAAUACAAUCCUGACUUUGCAUUGAAAGUAUCAGUAUGACCCCAGAGUAUCUUGCCAUACAAUAGCAAGAUACUCUGGGGUCAUGUCAAAAGUACACAAGGGCCAACAUGAAGAACCUAACACUGGCAAAAAUGGAACAAUUUAAGCUUACUAAGGGCAAUAACUUCAUUGGAUUGACACACUUAAGAUGUUCAAACCCAUGAGUUUUAAUGAUCCUAAAAAAUUAAUUGGUCACCAUUUGAGGGUGAUAGGCAACCAAUUUAUUAUUUCUAAAAUUGGAUAGAGGGAAAGAAUCAAAUAUUUAUCCUGCCUUUCCUGUGUGAGCUAUACCAUUGGAUAAUCAUAUAGUAGAUGAGGGGGUGCUGCUCUAUAUAGAAAUAUUCUAGCUAAUAAAUGAGAGGGUGAUGAAAUUAGAAUAUCAUCCUUUUGCAAUCACUAAUAAAUUAAAUUAAUCUAGACAGUGGGCAUGACAGCUAAUAACAACACAAGAGAAAUAAACAGACAUUAUGUGCCUCUUCUGAAGAACACAACCCACAAUCAAGUAGUCUUGCAUCCAAAAAUUAAAAUCUAAUCAAGGCUCUGUACCCAAUCACCAAUUUAUAGGAAGUACACGGAUCAUGAGACACUGCAUCAUGGGGUUACAAUCAGUAAAAUCCAGAGUUAAGAAAACUCUACAGACCAAACAGUUGGGUUUUUUUAAAAAAUAACGUUC